CCAGGCUGGUAUGUUACUAUAACAGCUUGGCUGAAAAUAGAGCAGAGGAUGGGAAGUUCACAAUUUCUGAUAUUGAUCCGAACAAAUGUACCCAUCUGGUCUACGCCUUUUCUGAAAUUAACAAUGUCAAUGAGCUCGUACCCACAAGCACAGCUGACCAACAACGCUACCUGUUCUUCAAUGGACUAAAAUUCAGAAAUCCACAGCUCAAAACCCUGUUAGCAGUUGGUGGCAUAACCUUUAACACACAAAAAUUCAGUAGGAUGGUGUCGACACAACAAUACAGAAAAACCUUCAUCCAUUCUGCGAUCACACUACUGAGGUUCUAUGGGUUUGAUGGGCUCAACCUGGACUGGAGGUUCCCUGUAACAAGAGGAAGUCAACCAGACAACAAGCAGAAAUUUACACUGUUGU